GUGCCAGCAGCCGCGGUAAUACGUAGGUGGCAAGCGUUGUCCGGAAUUAUUGGGCGUAAAGGGCUCGCAGGCGGUUUCUUAAGUCUGAUGUGAAAGCCCCCGGCUCAACCGGGGAGGGUCAUUGGAAACUGGGGAACUUGAGUGCAGAAGAGGAGAGUGGAAUUCCACGUGUAGCGGUGAAAUGCGUAGAGAUGUGGAGGAACACCAGUGGCGAAGGCGACUCUCUGGUCUGUAACUGACGCUGAGGAGCGAAAGCGUGGGGAGCGAACAGGAUUAGAUACCCUGGUAGUCCACGCCGUAAACGAUGAGUGCUAAGUGUUAGGGGGUUUCCGCCCCUUAGUGCUGCAGCUAACGCAUUAAGCACUCCGCCUGGGGAGUACGGUCGCAAGACUGAAACUCAAAGGAAUUGACGG
rnacentral:rRNA from 1 species